GACGAACGCUGGCGGCGUGCCUAACACAUGCAAGUCGAACGGGGCACGGAGAGUUUACUUUCUGUGCUUAGUGGCGAACGGGUGAGUAACGCGUGAGGAACCUGCCUUCCAGUGGGGGACAACAGUUGGAAACGACUGCUAAUACCGCAUGACAUAUCCGAAGGGCAUCCUUUGGAUAUCAAAGCUUUAUGUGCUGGAAGAUGGCCUCGCGUCUGAUUAGAUAGUUGGUGGGGCAACGGCCUACCAAGUCGACGAUCAGUAGCCGGUCUGAGAGGAUGAACGGCCACAUUGGGACUGAGAUACGGCCCAGACUCCUACGGGAGGCAGCAGUGGGGAAUAUUGGGCAAUGGGGGAAACCCUGACCCAGCAACGCCGCGUGAAGGAAGAAGGCCUUCGGGUUGUAAACUUCUUUACCAGGACGAAGAACGUGACGGUACC
rnacentral:rRNA from 1 species